CUCCAGUCAAGCCAGUUGAGCUGCCAAGCUUCUUUUAACCCUAUUUUUGACCCAUUUUUCUUGGUAAGCCUUGGUAUGCUUGAUUUGGUUUAGUCUACCCAGCUAAGGUUUAUUUUGACCUUAACUAAGUUAAUUGUUGGAUUAAAUUGACUAUAGUUAACUGGAAGCCGAGCUGGGAAUUUGUCCAACUAAGUCUAAACCGAGUUAGGCCUUGAUCUUGGGACAUCGCUGCUUGGAAGGCGUGAUUUUACUGUUAAAUUUUGAUUGAUCUAAUCUCCAGUCAGAGGCAGAGAUAAGAGCAAAGGCAAGCUGGCGAGUGACCAGAAGUGAUCGUGGCGAGCCAUAGGGAUCUUUUGCUUCCGCUUUAUGUCAUUGUUCAGAUUUUAAUGUUUGCAUUUUAUUUUAUUCUUUAUUUGUUAUUUUAUUUCUUUAAAACUAGAUAGGGCCCAAGUUAAGAUUUUAUUUUUGUACUUAUCUCUAAUCACAUUUGUUUAUGCUUUUAAAUGAAAAUUUUGAGGUUUUGUUUUA